rnacentral:rRNA from 1 species
GAUGAACGCUAGCGGCAGGCCUAAUACAUGCAAGUCGAACGAGAUUAAGAGGCUUGCUUCUUAUGAAAGUGGCGCACGGGUGCGUAACGCGUAUGCAACCUACCUUAAUCAGGGGGAUAGCCCGAAGAAAUUCGGAUUAAGACCGCAUAAAAACACAGGAUAGCAUUAUCCAAUGUUCAAAUAUUUAUAGGAUUAAGAUGGGCAUGCGUGUCAUUAGCUAGUUGGCGGGGUAACGGCCCACCAAGGCGACGAUGACUAGGGGAUCUGAGAGGAUGACCCCCCACACUGGUACUGAGACACGGACCAGACUCCUACGGGAGGCAGCAGUAAGGAAUAUUGGUCAAUGGAGGGAACUCUGAACCAGCCAUGCCGCGUGCAGGAAGACAGCCCUCUGGGUCGUAAACUGCUUUUAUUCGGGAAUAAACCUUUCUACGUGUAGGAAGCUGAAUGUACCGAGGGAAUAAGGAUCGGCUAACUCCGUG